rnacentral:rRNA from 1 species
UCAAGUUAUUAAGGGUGCAGGGCGGAUGCCUUGGCACUAGGAGCCGAUGAAGGACGUGAUAAGCUGCGAUAAGCUUCGGGGAGUUGCACGUAAACUUUGAUCCGAAGAUUUCCGAAUGAGGAAACUCACUUAGAGUAAUGUCUAAGUAUCAUUAAGUGAAUACAUAGCUUGAUGAGGGGAACUCAGGGAACUGAAACAUCUAAGUACCUGAAGGAAGAGAAAGAAAUUCGAUUCCGUAAGUAGCGGCGAGCGAACGCGGAUUAGCCCAAACCAAUAAAGUUUUCUUUAUUGGGGUUGCGGACAUAUCAUAACGAAGAGGUAUCGUAAUUGAAGAGGUUUGGAAAGACCCACCACAGAAGGUAAUAGUCCUGUAUGUUAAACGAGAAGACUUUAGAUAUGAUCCAGAGUACCACGGGACACGUGAAACCCUGUGGGAAGCAGGAGGGACCACCCUCCAAGGCUAAAUACUACCUAGUGACCGAUAGCGUAUAGUACCGUGAGGGAAAGGUGAAAAGAACCCCGGGAGGGGAGUGAAAUAGAACCUGAAACCCUGCACUUACAAGCUGUGGAAGCACAUUUCUUGUGUGACCGCGUACUUUUUGUAGAACGGGCCAACGAGUUACGUUAAGUAGCAAGGUUAAGCACUUAAGGUGCGGAGCCGUAGCGAAAGCGAGUUUUAACUGAGCGUUCAGUUACUUGACGUAGACCCGAAACCGGGCGACCUACCCAUGAGCAGGAUGAAGCGAAAGUAAAAUUUCGUGGAGGUCCGAACCCACGAGCGUUGAAAAGCUCGGGGAUGACUUGUGGGUAGCGGUGAAAUUCCAAUCGAGCCCGGAGAUAGCUGGUUCUCCCCGAAAUAGCUUUAGGGCUAGCCUCAAGGUGAGAGAUACGGAGGUAGAGCACUGAAUGUCCUAGGGGGUAUUGCAUCUACCGAAGACUAUCAAACUCCGAAUGCCGUCAUCUUAUACUUGGGAGUCAGACUGUGGGUGAUAAGAUUCAUAGUCGAAAGGGCAACAGCCCAGAUCGUCAGCUAAGGUCCCUAAAUGUAAGUUAAGUGGUAAAGGAUGUGGGAUUGCACAGACAACCAGGAUGUUGGCUUAGAAGCAGCUACUCAUUCAAAGAGUGCGUAAUAGCUCACUGGUCGAGUGAUCCUGCGCCGAAGAUUUCCGGGGCUAAAACUUACUACCGAAGCUACGGCAUCAGUAAUGAUGGGUAGGGGAGCUUCCCAUACGGGUUGAAGCAUGACCGUAAGGACAUGUGGACAGUAUGGGAGUGAGAAUGUUGGCAUGAGUAGCGAGAUGUGGGUGAGAAUCCCACAGGCCGUAAACCCAAGGUUUCCAGGGGAAGGUUCGUCCGCCCUGGGUUAGUCGGGACCUAAGCUGAGGCCGAAAGGCGUAGGUGAUGGACAACAGGUUGAUAUUCCUGUACUACCGAUAACCGUUUGAGAGAAGGGAUGACACAGUAGGAUAAGCUAAGCACACUGUUGGUUAUGUGUGCCCAAGCAUUGAGGCAGUCAAAGUAGGCAAAUCCGCUUUGAUAAUGCUGGGAUGUGAUGGGGAGCGAAAUUUAGUAGCGAAGUAGCUGAUUUCACACUGUCAAGAAAAGUCUCUAUCGAGGUUAAAGGUACCCGUACCGCAAACCGACACAGGUGGGUGAGGAGAGUAUCCUAAGGCCAGCGAGAGAACUGUUGUUAAGGAACUCGGCAAAAUGACCCCGUAACUU